CGCGCGCGCGCAAGCACACCCUGAUCCCAGUUCCUCACAGUUCCCCCACCCUCCAACCCCAGGAAGUAGGUUUCUCAACCAACAAGGCCAGGUAUGAGUCACAGGCAAUUCCAUUUUGUUUGGGGGCAUAAGACCGCCCUCUUAUUUUUGAGGCCAAGAGGAGUUGCUGAGAAGGAGAGGAGGUUCUGGCCCACGGGGAAAUUCCCACAUCUGUACCGUGGCUUGGAAGGUCCUUGGUCCCUUUGCCCAUCUUUCUCCAGGGCCCAGCUCAGACUAAUCAAAGAAUUGGGGAAGGAGUCUUCUCUUCAUAAAGCAUCAUGGUGACUACCCAUUGUCCUUGAAAGGGACAGAGAGGAGAGAGACAAACCAAGCAAAGCCAACAGACUUUGAGAACAUCCCUAGCUGCCUGCCACCCCUCCAUCCAGUCCUCUAGAUGGAAAUGUGCUGUUUCUCUGGAAGACUGCGGAAGCCCCAGAUGCAUUUGGCAUGCAAAGCGAAAUCAGCAGAACAGCAGGUUUCGACUAGAAGAGCCAGUUCCGUUCCGCUGGAAGAAAGAGGAUGCAGAAUGUGGUUUUUCAGUUCCUGGGGCCUCGGGAGCUCCAAAACUCCCUCCGUCCCUGCCUUGCUGCACCGCUGUUAAUUGUGAAGAAAAAUCUGCCUUCUUCUGUAUUGCGCUGAGGCUGCUGUGGCCUCAGUUUCCUUGUCAGUGAAAUGGAAAACGUAA